UUUAGGGUGGCAGAGCCAGGUAUAUUGCAAAAGGCCUAAACCCUUUCACCCAGAAGUUCAAAUCUUCUCCCUAACA
rnacentral:tRNA from 1 species